GAUGAACGCUAGCUACAGGCUUAACACAUGCAAGUCGAGGGGCAGCACAGUGUAGCAAUACACGGGUGGCGACCGGCGCACGGGUGCGUAACGCGUAUCCAACCUUCCCGAUACUCUUGGAUAGCCUUCCGAAAGGGAGAUUAAUACAAGAUGGUGUUUCACUUUCGCAUGUUAUUGAAACUAAAGAUUUAUCGGUAUCGGAUGGGGAUGCGUGACAUUAGAUAGUAGGCGGGGUAACGGCCCACCUAGUCUACGAUGUCUAGGGGUUCUGAGAGGAAGGUCCCCCACACUGGUACUGAGACACGGACCAGACUCCUACGGGAGGCAGCAGUGAGGAAUAUUGGUCAAUGGGCGAGAGCCUGAACCAGCCAAGUCGCGUGAGGGAAGACGGUACUAAGUAUUGUAAACCUCUUUUGUCAGGGAACAAAACCUGCAUGUAUGCAACAAUGAGUGUACCUGAAGAAAAGCAUCGGCUAACCCCGUGCCAGCAGCCGCGGU
rnacentral:rRNA from 1 species